ACGUCGGCAAGGAGGAAGGAGGUGCUGACAAGGGGAGGCCUCCGAUGAAAGGGUGAAGGAUACAGCCAGUCUGGACCGGAAGGAAGCCAUGAAGAGGGCACUGUGUGGGUGCCCGCGACGGCGAAGCUCGCGGAUGGGCUCU
rnacentral:SRP_RNA from 11 species